GGGGCGGGGCCAGGACUCAACACUGCUGCCAGCCAUCCAUGACACAUACUACUAUACUGAGCAGAGGCAGGAAAAGGUUACAUGGAGACAGCGGAGACUGCUGUGGGAUCACCAUGGCAACGGGGACUGGUCCAUGGGGAGGUGCCCGGCGUGCGUCACUUGCGGGGCGAUGUCAUGCUCGGGACUGGAGGGGGGACAUGCACGCCGUGAGUGCUAACUGGGAACUGGGAUCCGUGCACGUGGGGAGGCAACAGCGUUGGCUGGAUUACCAUGACAACCUGACUGGCCCUGGUGUGGAGGCCCGGCCGACGUCACUUCCGGGGCGACGUCACACUCUGGAGCGGAAGUGAGACACAGACGCCGGGAACAUGCGCUGGGAGGCUGGAGACCUGCCAUACAAAGACUGCACCUGAAAAAACCUUUUGACUUGACUUGAGUCAUCAUAGUGGGCACUGAGGCUGUAGCGCUUUUGACUAAAAUAUUUUUUAAAUUAGGCGCUCUUGUAUAUUACUUUUGGUUUUUAUGGGAUUAUUUUUUCCAAUAUGGGAUCGCUCUUAAGAAUUUCCCAGUGUUUUCUCAGAACACCUUCAAUGUUCUUGUACUUCUGAUUACAUGUCGUUACAAAAGACACAGAAAAGUCAUCCCUCAUCUCUUUCUGUUUCGGUUGCAAUAAUGUUUCCCUUUCUAUUCCAUCAAUUUUUUCCAGAUCAUUUUGCAGAGAUUCUAAAUCAUACCCUUUCUGUAAAAAUAUAUAUAUUUUUUUGUUAACUGUGCUUGCUUCUUAUACACUGUGUCGUCAGUGCAAUUCCGUUUUAAACAUCGGAACUGACUACCC